UACGUAGGGGGCGAGCGUUGUCCGGAAUUAUUGGGCGUAAAGGGUUCGCAGGCGGUCUUUUAAGUCAGAUGUGAAAGGCUACGGCUCAACCGUGGUAAGCAUUUGAAACUGAAAGACUUGAGUUAAGGAGAGGAAAGUGGAAUUCCUAGUGUAGCGGUGAAAUGCGUAGAUAUUAGGAGGAAUACCAGUGGCGAAGGCGACUUUCUGGACUUAUACUGACGCUGAGGAACGAAAGCGUGGGGAGCAAACA
rnacentral:rRNA from 1 species